rnacentral:rRNA from 1 species
CCUACGGGGGGCUGCAGUGAGGAAUAUUGGUCAAUGGACGAGAGUCUGAACCAGCCAAGUAGCGUGAAGGAUGACUGCCCUAUGGGUUGUAAACUUCUUUUAUAAAGGAAUAAAACGAGGCACGUGUGCCUUUUUGCAUGUACUUUAUGAAUAAGGAUCGGCUAACUCCGUGCCAGCAGCCGCGGUAAUACGGAGGAUCCGAGCGUUAUCCGGAUUUAUUGGGUUUAAAGGGAGCGUAGAUGGGUUGUUAAGUCAGUUGUGAAAGUUUGCGGCUCAACCGUAAAAUUGCAAUUGAUACUGGCAGUCGUGAGUACAGUUGAGGUAGGCGGAAUUCGUGGUGUAGCGGUGAAAUGCUUAGAUAGCACGAAGAACCCCGAUUGCGAAGGCAGCUUACUAAACUGUGACUGACAUUGAUGCUCGAAAGUGUGGGUAUCAAACAGGAUUAGAUACCCUUGUAGUC